rnacentral:misc_RNA from 1 species
GAUGAAGAACGUAGUGAAAUGCGAUAAGUAGUGUGAAUUGCAGAAUUCAGUGAAUCAUCGAAUCUUUGAACGCACAUUGCGCCCUUUGGUAUUCCAAAGGGCAUGCCUGUUCGAGCGUCAUUUGUACCCUCAAGCUUUGCUUGGUGUUGGGCGUCUUGUCUCUAGCUCUGCUGGAGACUCGCCUUAAAGUAAUUGGCAGCCGGCCUACUGGUUUCGGAGCGCAGCACAAGUCGCACUCUCUAUCAGCAAAGGUCUAGCAUCCAUUAAGCCUUUUUUUCAACUUUUGACCUCGGAUCAGGUAGGGAUACCCGCUGAACUUAAGCAUAUCAAUAAGCGGAGGA